rnacentral:rRNA from 1 species
AGAGUUUGAUUCUGGCUCAGAACGAACGCUGGCGGCGUGGAUAAGACAUGCAAGUCGAACGAGAGAAUUGCUAGCUUGCUAAUAAUUCUCUAGUGGCGCACGGGUGAGUAACACGUGAGUAACCUGCCCCCGAGAGCGGGAUAGCCCUGGGAAACUGGGAUUAAUACCGCAUAGUAUCGAAAGAUUAAAGCAGCAAUGCGCUUGGGGAUGGGCUCGCGGCCUAUUAGUUAGUUGGUGAGGUAACGGCUCACCAAGGCGAUGACGGGUAGCCGGUCUGAGAGGAUGUCCGGCCACACUGGAACUGAGACACGGUCCAGACACCUACGGGUGGCAGCAGUCGAGAAUCAUUCACAAUGGGGGAAACCCUGAUGGUGCGACGCCGCGUGGGGGAAUGAAGGUCUUCGGAUUGUAAACCCCUGUCAUGUGGGAGCAAAUUAAAAAGAUAGUACCACAAGAGGAAGAGACGGCUAACUCUGUGCCAGCAGCCGCGGUAAUACAGAGGUCUCAAGCGUUGUUCGGAAUCACUGGGCGUAAAGCGUGCGUAGGCUGUUUCGUAAGUCGUGUGUGAAAGGCGCGGGCUCAACCCGCGGACGGCACAUGAUACUGCGAGACUAGAGUAAUGGAGGGGGAACCGGAAUUCUCGGUGUAGCAGUGAAAUGCGUAGAUAUCGAGAGGAACACUCGUGGCGAAGGCGGGUUCCUGGACAUUAACUGACGCUGAGGCACGAAGGCCAGGGGAGCGAAAGGGAUUAGAUACCCCUGUAGUCCUGGCAGUAAACGGUGCACGCUUGGUGUGCGGGGAAUCGACCCCCUGCGUGCCGGAGCUAACGCGUUAAGCGUGCCGCCUGGGGAGUACGGUCGCAAGAUUAAAACUCAAAGAAAUUGACGGGGACCCGCACAAGCGGUGGAGUAUGUGGCUUAAUUCGAUGCAACGCGAAGAACCUUACCUGGGCUUGACAUGUAAUGAACAACAUGUGAAAGCAUGCGACUCUUCGGAGGCGUUACACAGGUGCUGCAUGGCCGUCGUCAGCUCGUGUCGUGAGAUGUUUGGUUAAGUCCAGCAACGAGCGCAACCCCUGUUGCCAGUUACCAGCACGUGAAGGUGGGGACUCUGGCGAGACUGCCCAGAUCAACUGGGAGGAAGGUGGGGACGACGUCAGGUCAGUAUGGCCCUUAUGCCCAGGGCUGCACACGUACUACAAUGCCCAGUACAGAGGGGGCCGAAGCCGCGAGGCGGAGGAAAUCCUGAAAACUGGGCCCAGUUCGGACUGUAGGCUGCAACCCGCCUACACGAAGCCGGAAUCGCUAGUAAUGGCGCAUCAGCUACGGCGCCGUGAAUACGUUCCCGGGUCUUGUACACACCGCCCGUCACACCAUGGGAGUCAGUAACGCCCGAAGUCAGUGACCCAACCGUAAGGAGGGAGCUGCCGAAGGUGGGACCGAUAACUGGGGUGAAGUCGUAACAAGGUAGCCGUAUCGGAAGGUGCGGC